UACGUAGGUGGCAAGCGUUGUCCGGAUUUACUGGGCGUAAAGGGCGUGCAGGCGGUCUGUUAAGUGCAGGGUGAAAGCUCCCGGCUCAACUGGGAGAGGUCCUUGCAUACUGGCGGACUUGAGGGGGGUAGAGGAAAGUGGAAUUCCCGGUGUAGUGGUGAUAUGCGUAGAUAUCGGGAGGACCACCUGUGGCGAAGGCGGCUUUCUGGGCCCUACCUGACGCUGAGACGCGAAAGCGUGGGGAGCGAACCGG
rnacentral:rRNA from 1 species